AGUUAGUUAAAACCUCAUAGUUUAAAGACCUCAUGACACCUAGAGACUACCUUUUUUUAUUUAGUCUAAAAUAACUUUUAUUUUCGAUUUGAAAUACAUAAUUGUGAUAAAUAUGCCCGGUUCUCUGUUAUUUUCGAAAUUUGUACGCAAGCCACUGAAAUCCACAGGCCAGUGUCUUGACAACGUUCCAACAUAAAGAUGACGUAUGCUCCGGAACGCUUUUAGACCUGAUUGCACCUGCUGCCACCCUUGACCUUGAUCAUUUCUAGUCACAGUAAGUCGUACUCGCAGUUUUAGCAUCUUUAAAGUUUUGUUCUUAAUAUUUUUGUUGAGAACAUGCCUGAGCGGUGUGUUGCAGCGUAUUGUUCAAACACCAGGGAGAACGGUUUUACCCUUCAUCGGUUUCCGAAAGACCCUGCUUUGUGUGAACUCUGGACGCAACAAGUUUGUAGGACAAGAGCUGGUCCGAAAGGAACAGUAUGGAAGCCAAGCUCGUCGUCUGUACUUUGCUCAGCGCAUUUUGAAGAGGAGUGCUACGACUCGAUCCCCGCUCUGAAGGAGCAGCUUGGUAUUGAUGUUCGUCUGAAGAAGGUUUUGCUGCCCAAUUCGGUUCCGCGUAUAUUUCAUCGAGGGACAAGCUCGAGGUUAGCCCCGGGGGCGAACGGCGACGUCAAGAGCCGGAGGUCUCAUGCUCUGGAGAAAAGGCAGAGAUUGGAGGUACUACAGGAAUGCCAGUCUGAGUAUGUUGCUGAAGAGGAAAGCGAUGACUUUCCUGACGGGGACCCAUCUACUGAUGUGAAUUCAACAGAAGAUCAGCACAGUGACUUUUCCGUUCAAGUGUGUCUGAGGCCACCAACAAGGACGGUGGCUAUGCAGUUCAAAGGAAGGGGACGGACUAAAGGUAUUUUAUCAUUUAUGUACGUAUUUUAGCCAAACAG